rnacentral:rRNA from 1 species
AUGAGUCUCAUGUGCUGGAACUGUCGCGGGAUUGGCAAACCUGCGACAGUCAAAGAGCUUCGUGAACUAGCGAAGCAGUUUGCCCCCUCUGUACUAUGUAUCCUUGAAACUCAAAUAGAGGGAUCUAGAGUUGAAAAUCCGGUUGGUUCGUUAGGUUUUAAUAAGAGUUUUGUUGUUAGUUGUUCAGGCAGAAGUGGUGGAUUAGGAAUUUUUUGGAAUGAAGAAAUAAAGCUUGAAGUUGUCGGGUAUUCUAAGUACCACAUUGAUGCAGUCAUAAACGAUCUUCUGAAUGUUAAAACAAGGGUUACCUCACUAGUAGAAAAAGGGCCUAUUGUCCCGGUUGGUAAGGGCCUUUUGUCUCGGUUUUUGAACCGGGACUAA